CCGGGCGUUAUCCGGAUUUAUUGGGUUUAAAGGGAGCGUAGGCUGGAGAUUAAGUGUGUUGUGAAAUGUAGACGCUCAACGUCUGACUUGCAGCGCAUACUGGUUUCCUUGAGUACGCACAACGUUGGCGGAAUUCGUCGUGUAGCGGUGAAAUGCUUAGAUAUGACGAAGAACUCCGAUUGCGAAGGCAGCUGACGGGAGCGCAACUGACGCUGAAGCUCGAAGGUGCGGGUAUCGAACAGGAUUAGAUACCCUGGUAGUCCGCACAGUAAACGAUGGAUGCCCGCUGUUGGUACCUGGUAUCAGCGGCUAAGCGAAAGCAUUAAGCAUCCCACCUGGGGAGUACGCCGGCAACGGUGAAACUCAAAGGAAUUGACGGGGGCCCGCACAAGCGGAGGAACAUGUGGUUUAAUUCGAUGAUACGCGAGGAACCUUACCCGGGCUUGAAUUGCAGAGGAAGGAUUUAGAGAUAA
rnacentral:rRNA from 1 species